UGCGUCUACAAUCUGGCAGCUUUGGCUCUGCUCCUCACUUCUCAGUGUUCGGCGAGCGUGCAACCGGAGAGGAUGUAGAGGACCGCGUUUUCCUAUAUUGGAAUUUCCAGAAUCUUUUGAUCACAGAACAGCAACUGAUGGAAAUAUUUGGCAAAUAUGAUCCAUUGGCUAGUAUAAAAAUAAUGUGACUACGCAGUGACGAAGAAAAAGCCAGACAAAGGAACUGUGAUAUUGUCGCGUUUAUGAGUCGUAAGGAUAGAAAACGUGCAUUGAAAAAUCUUAAUGAAGAAUCGUCAUUUUCUACACUUGUGAAAAGGUAGAGAGAAAAUUAAAUUAACUUGGAGAAAAUUACACUACACUCAUCGAGAAAAUUAAAUUAACUUGGAGAAAAUUACACUACAUCUCAUCGAGACAACCGGUGACAAACGGUAAGAAACGGAAUCGAGGAGAGAUCCAAUUAAGAUAAGCGAGCUCUUUAAAAACCUUCGAUGCUGGAGACUCGACGAUAGCGAGAGAGAGAGAGAACCAGUAAGAAGCAAACGAGAUGGCCAACAUCAAAGAGAGUUCUGAAGUCUUGUUGCGAAUCUUCUUUUAUUUCCAUUCUUUCGCGUAUCCUAUUUCAUCUUACCACAGAAAAUAAAAUUUUUACAUUUCGCAUUUUAUCGAUUUAAAAAUAAUUUUAAUGGAUUAAUGAGAUUU